rnacentral:tRNA from 2 species
GCCCGGGUGGUGAAACUGGUAGACGCAGGGGACUCAAAAUCCCCCGCCGCAAGGCGUGUCGGUUCGAUUCCGACCCCGGGCACCA